UACGAAGGGGGCUAGCGUUGCUCGGAAUCACUGGGCGUAAAGCGCACGUAGGCGGAUUGCUAAGUCAGGGGUGAAAUCCUGGAGCUCAACUCCAGAACUGCCUUUGAUACUGGCGAUCUCGAGUCCGGGAGAGGUGAGUGGAACUGCGAGUGUAGAGGUGAAAUUCGUAGAUAUUCGCAAGAACACCAGUGGCGAAGGCGGCUCUCUGGACCGAGACUGACGCUGAGGCGCGAAAGCGUGGGGAGCGAACGGG
rnacentral:rRNA from 1 species